GAUCCUGGCUCAGAUUGAACGCUGGCGGCAGGCUUAACACGUGCAAGUCGAGCGGGGAAGAGUAGCUUGCUACUUGACCUAGCGGCGGACGGGUGAGUAAUGCUUAGGAAUCUGCCUAUUAGUGGGGGACAACAUCUCGAAAGGGAUGCUAAUACCGCAUACGUCCUACGGGAGAAAGCAGGGGACCUUCGGGCCUUGCGCUAAUAGAUGAGCCUAAGUCGGAUUAGCUAGUUGGUGGGGUAAAGG
rnacentral:rRNA from 1 species